rnacentral:rRNA from 1 species
CUGCGUACCUUUUGUAUAAUGGGUCAGCGACUUAUAUUCUGUAGCAAGGUUAACCGAAUAGGGGAGCCGAAGGGAAACCGAGUCUUAACUGGGCGUUAAGUUGCAGGGUAUAGACCCGAAACCCGGUGAUCUAGCCAUGGGCAGGUUGAAGGUUGGGUAACACUAACUGGAGGACCGAACCGACUAAUGUUGAAAAAUUAGCGGAUGACUUGUGGCUGGGGGUGAAAGGCCAAUCAAACCGGGAGAUAGCUGGUUCUCCCCGAAAGCUAUUUAGGUAGCGCCUCGUGAAUUCAUCUCCGGGGGUAGAGCACUGUUUCGGCAAGGGGGUCAUCCCGACUUACCAACCCGAUGCAAACUGCGAAUACCGGAGAAUGUUAUCACGGGAGACACACGGCGGGUGCUAACGUCCGUCGUGAAGAGGGAAACAACCCAGACCGCCAGCUAAGGUCCCAAAGUCAUGGUUAAGUGGGAAACGAUGUGGGAAGGCCCAGACAGCCAGGAUGUUGGCUUAGAAGCAGCCAUCAUUUAAAGAAAGCGUAAUAGCUCACUGGUCGAGUCGGCCUGCGCGGAAGAUGUAACGGGGCUAAACCAUGCACCGAAGCUGCGGCAGCGACACUAUGUGUUGUUGGGUAGGGGAGCGUUCUGUAAGCCUGUGAAGGUGUACUGUGAGGUAUGCUGGAGGUAUCAGAAGUGCGAAUGCUGACAUAAGUAACGAUAAAGCGGGUGAAAAGCCCGCUCGCCGGAAGACCAAGGGUUCCUGUCCAACGUUAAUCGGGGCAGGGUGAGUCGACUCCUAAGGCGAGGCCGAAAGGCGUAGUCGAUGGGAAACAGGUUAAUAUUCCUGUACUUGGUGUUACUGCGAAGGGGGGACGGAGAAGGCUAUGUUGGCCGGGCGACGGUUGUCCCGGUUUAAGCGUGUAGGCUGGUUUUCCAGGCAAAUCCGGAAAACUAAGGCUGAGGCGUGAUGACGAGGCACUACGGUGCUGAAGCAACAAAUGCCCUGCUUCCAGGAAAAGCCUCUAAGCAUCAGGUAACAUCAAAUCGUACCCCAAACCGACACAGGUGGUCAGGUAGAGAAUACCAAGGCGCUUGAGAGAACUCGGGUGAAGGAACUAGGCAAAAUGGUGCCGUAACUUCGGGAGAAGGCACGCUGAUAUGUAGGUGAAGUCCCUCGCGGAUGGAGCUGAAAUCAGUCGAAGAUACCAGCUGGCUGCAACUGUUUAUUAAAAACACAGCACUGUGCAAACACGAAAGUGGACGUAUACGGUGUGACGCCUGCCCGGUGCCGGAAGGUUAAUUGAUGGGGUCAGCGCAAGCGAAGCUCUUGAUCGAAGCCCCGGUAAACGGCGGCCGUAACUAUAACGGUCCUAAGGUAGCGAAAUUCCUUGUCGGGUAAGUUCCGACCUGCACGAAUGGCGUAAUGAUGGCCAGGCUGUCUCCACCCGAGACUCAGUGAAAUUGAACUCGCUGUGAAGAUGCAGUGUACCCGCGGCAAGACGGAAAGACCCCGUGAACCUUUACUAUAGCUUGACACUGAACAUUGAGCCUUGAUGUGUAGGAUAGGUGGGAGGCUUUGAAGUGUGGACGCCAGUCUGCAUGGAGCCGACCUUGAAAUACCACCCUUUAAUGUUUGAUGUUCUAACGUUGACCCGUAAUCCGGGUUGCGGACAGUGUCUGGUGGGUAGUUUGACUGGGGCGGUCUCCUCCUAAAGAGUAACGGAGGAGCACGAAGGUUGGCUAAUCCUGGUCGGACAUCAGGAGGUUAGUGCAAUGGCAUAAGCCAGCUUGACUGCGAGCGUGACGGCGCGAGCAGGUGCGAAAGCAGGUCAUAGUGAUCCGGUGGUUCUGAAUGGAAGGGCCAUCGCUCAACGGAUAAAAGGUACUCCGGGGAUAACAGGCUGAUACCGCCCAAGAGUUCAUAUCGACGGCGGUGUUUGGCACCUCGAUGUCGGCUCAUCACAUCCUGGGGCUGAAGUAGGUCCCAAGGGUAUGGCUGUUCGCCAUUUAAAGUGGUACGCGAGCUGGGUUUAGAACGUCGUGAGACAGUUCGGUCCCUAUCUGCCGUGGGCGCUGGAGAACUGAGGGGGGCUGCUCCUAGUACGAGAGGACCGGAGUGGACGCAUCACUGGUGUUCGGGUUGUCAUGCCAAUGGCACUGCCCGGUAGCUAAAUGCGGAAGAGAUAAGUGCUGAAAGCAUCUAAGCACGAAACUUGCCCCGAGAUGAGUUCUCCCUGACUCCUUGAGAGUCCUGAAGGAACGUUGAAGACGACGACGUUGAUAGGCCGGGUGUGUAAGCGC